rnacentral:rRNA from 1 species
GACGAACGCUGGCGGCGCGCCUAACACAUGCAAGUCGAGCGAUGAAAUUUUAACCGAUCUCUUCGGAGAGAAGAUAAACUGGAUUAGCGGCGGACGGGUGAGUAACACUUGAGAAACCUUCCUUUCACAAGGGGAUAGCCUCGGGAAACCGGGAUUAAUACCCUAUGACACAUUUCCUUCGCAUGUAGGAAAUGUUAAAACUCCGGGGGUGAAAGAUGGUCUCGCGCCUGAUUAGCUAGUUGGUGGGGUAACGGCCCACCAAGGCCAUGAUCAGUAACCGGCCUGAGAGGGUGAACGGUCACAUUGGAAAUGAGACACGGUCCAAACUCCUACGGGAGGCAGCAGUGGGGAAUAUUGCACAAUGGAGGAAACUCUGAUGCCGCGACGCCGCGUGAGAGAUGAAGGCUUUCGAGUCGUAAAGCUCUGUCCUAUGGGAAGAUAAUGACGGUACCAGAGGAGGAAGCCCCGGCUAACUACGUG